UACGUAGGGUGCGAGCGUUGUCCGGAAUUAUUGGGCGUAAAGGGCUCGUAGGCGGUUUGUCGCGUCGGGAGUGAAAACAUCUGGCUUAACUGGGUGCUUGCUUUCGAUACGGGCAGACUAGAGGUAUGCAGGGGAGAACGGAAUUCCUGGUGUAGCGGUGAAAUGCGCAGAUAUCAGGAGGAACACCGGUGGCGAAGGCGGUUCUCUGGGCAUGAUCUGACGCUGAGGAGCGAAAGUGUGGGGAGCGAACAGG
rnacentral:rRNA from 1 species